UUAGGGGGCAAGCGUUAUCCGGAUUCACUGGGUGUAAAGGGAGCGUAGACGGCGAGACAAGUCUGGAGUGAAAGGCCGGGGCCCAACCCCGGGACUGCUCUGGAAACUGCCUGGCUGGAGUACAGGAGAGGUAAGUGGAAUUCCUAGUGUAGCGGUGAAAUGCGUAGAUAUUAGGAGGAACACCAGUGGCGAAGGCGGCUUACUGGACUGUAACUGACGUUGAGGCUCGAAAGCGUGGGGAGCAAA
rnacentral:rRNA from 1 species